GGCCUCGUAGCUCAGGUGGUUAGAGCGUUGGCUAUACUCAAGCCUUAUCUUAACUGUCGGGGGUUCGAAUCCCACCGAGGUCA
rnacentral:tRNA from 1 species